rnacentral:rRNA from 1 species
UACGGAGGGGGUUAGCGUUGUUCGGAAUUACUGGGCGUAAAGCGCGCGUAGGCGGACUAGAAAGUUGGGGGUGAAAUCCCGGGGCUCAACCUCGGAACUGCCUCCAAAACUGCUAGUCUAGAGUUCGAGAGAGGUGAGUGGAAUUCCGAGUGUAGAGGUGAAAUUCGUAGAUAUUCGGAGGAANACCAGUGGCGAAGGCGGCUCACUGGCUCGAUACUGACGCUGAGGUGCGANAGUGUGGGGAGCAAACCUU